rnacentral:rRNA from 1 species
UACAGAGGGUGCUAGCGUUGUUCGGAAUCAUUGGGCGUAAAGGGCGUGUAGGCGGUUUGUUAAGUCAUGUGUGAAAUCCCUCGGCUCAACCGGGGAACGACGCAUGAAACUGGCAAGCUAGAGUACCAAAGAGGGGGGUGGAAUUCCCGGUGUAGCGGUGAAAUGCGUAGAUAUCGGAAGGAACAUCAGUGGCGAAAGCGGCUUCCUGGACCAGCACCGACGUUCAGGCACGAAAGCGUGGGGAGCAAACAGG